GAUGAACGCUGGCGGCGUGCCUAAUACAUGCAAGUCGAGCGAACGGACGAGAAGCUUGCUUCUCUGAUGUUAGCGGCGGACGGGUGAGUAACACGUGGAUAACCUACCUAUAAGACUGGGAUAACUUCGGGAAACCGGAGCUAAUACCGGAUAAUAUUUUGAACCGCAUGGUUCAAAAGUGAAAGACGGUCUUGCUGUCACUUAUAGAUGGAUCCGCGCUGCAUUAGCUAGUUGGUAAGGUAACGGCUUACCAAGGCAACGAUGCAUAGCCGACCUGAGAGGGGGUUCGGCCACACUGAAACUGAGACACGGUCCAGACUCCUACGGGAGGCAGCAGUAGGGAAUCUUCCGCAAUGGGCGAAAGCCUGACGGAGCAACGCCGCGUGGGUGAUGAAGGUCUUCGGAUCGUAAAACGCUGUUAUUAGGGAAGAACAUAUGUGUAAGUAACUGUGCACAUCUUGACGGUACCUAAUCAGAAAGCCACGGCAAACUAGGU
rnacentral:rRNA from 1 species